rnacentral:rRNA from 1 species
CACGUAGGGCGCAAGCGUUGUCCGGAAUUAUUGGGCGUAAAGAGCUCGUAGGCGGUCUGUUGCGUCCGCUGUGAAAACUCGGGGCUUAACCCCGAGCCUGCAGUGGAUACGGGCAGACUAGAGGUAGGUAGGGGAGAAUGGAAUUUUAUGUGGAGCGGUAAAAUGCGUAGAUAUAUAAAAGAACAUCAAUUGGCGAAGGCAUUUAACUAUUCUGCUACUGACAUUGAGGCAUGAAAGCGUGGGGAGCAAAACGG